AGUGGCGGACGGGUGAGUAACGCGUGAGAAUCUGCCUUCAGGACGGGGACAACAGUUGGAAACGACUGCUAAUACCCGAUGUGCCGCAAGGUGAAACCUAAUUGGCCUGGAGAAGAGCUUGCGUCUGAUUAGCUAGUUGGUGGGGUAAAGGCCUACCAAGGCGACGAUCAGUAGCUGGUCUGAGAGGAUGAGCAGCCACACUGGGACUGAGACACGGCCCAGACUCCUACGGGAGGCAGCAGUGGGGAAUUUUCCGCAAUGGGCGAAAGCCUGACGGAGCAACGCCGCGUGAGGGAGGAAGGUCUUUGGAUUGUAAACCUCUUUUCUCAAGGAAGAAGUUCUGACGGUACUUGAGGAAUCAGCCUCGGCUAACUCCGUGCCAGCAGCCGCGGUAAUACGGGGGAGGCAAGCGUUAUCCGGAAUUAUUGGGCGUAAAGCGUCCGCAGGUGGUCAGCCAAGUCUGCCGUCAAAUCAGGUUGCUUAACGACCUAAAGGCGGUGGAAACUGGCAGACUAGAGAGCAGUAGGGGUAGCAGGAAUUCCCAGUGUAGCGGUGAAAUGCGUAGAGAUUGGGAAGAACAUCGGUGGCGAAAGCGUGCUACUGGGCUGUAUCUGACACUCAGGGACGAAAGCUAGGGGAGCGAAAGGGAUUAGAUACCCCUGUAGUCCUAGCCGUAAACGAUGGAUACUAGGCGUGGCUU
rnacentral:rRNA from 1 species